GAUAAACGCUGGCGGCGUGCCUAACACAUGCAAAUCGAACGAUCCCGCAAGGGAGAGUGGCGGAAGGGUGAGUAACACGUGGGAAUCUACCUCCUCGCAGGGAACAACCUCUCGAAAGAGAGGCUAAUACCCAAAAGGGUCAGAAAUGAUCAGAGUCGAAAGGCGUGAGGAGAGGAGCCCGCGGCCCAUCAGCUAGUUGGUGAGGUAAUGGCUUACCAAGGCUACGACGGGUAGGGGAUCUGAGAGGAUGUCCCCCACACUGGAACUGAAACACGGUCCAGACGCCUACGGGUGGCAGCAGUGAGGAAUAUUGGACAAUGGGCGAAAGCCCGAUCCAGCAACGCCGCGUGGAGGAUGAAGGCCUUCGGGUCGUAAACUUCUUUAGAGGGAGACGAGAAAGGACGGUAUCCCUAGAAUAAGCGACGGCAAACUACGUGCCAGCAGCCGCGGUAAU
rnacentral:rRNA from 1 species